UACAGAGGCCUCGAGCGUUAGGCGGAAUCACUGGGCUUAAAGCGUGUGUAGGCGGACUUCCAAGUACCUUGUGAAAUCCCACGGCUCACCCGUGGAACUGCUCGGUAUACUGGUCGUCUUGAGCCUUCUAGGGGCGAGUGGAACAAAUGGUGGAGCGGUGAAAUGCGUAGAUAUCAUUUGGAACGCCAAUGGUGAAAACAACUCGCUGGGGAAGUGCUGACGCUGAGACACGAAAGCCAGGGGAGCGAACGGG
rnacentral:rRNA from 1 species